rnacentral:rRNA from 1 species
AGAGUUUGAUCAUGGCUCAGGGUGAACGCUAGCGGCCCGUAAAAAGAAAGCAAGUCGAACGACGUGCCCGAGCAAUCGGGAUUACGAGUGGCGGACGGGUGAGUAACGCGUGAGAACGUACCCUCUAGUGGGGAAUAACCGCGGGAAACUGUGGCUAAUACCCCAUGUUAUCGCAAGAUCAAAGGGCAUAACUGCCCGCUAGAGGAGCGUCUUGCGUCCUAUCAGCUUGUUGGUGGGGUAAUGGCCUACCAAGGCGACGACGGGUAGGAGGUCUGAGAGGAUGGUCUCCCACAAUGGCACUGAGACACGGGCCAUACACCUACGGGUGGCAGCAACCGGGAAUCUUGCGCAAUGGGCGAAAGCCUGACGCAGCGACGCCGCGUGGAGGAUGAAGGCCUUCGGGUUGUAAACUCCUUUUAUUAGGGAAUAAUUUUGACUGUACCUGAUGAAUAAGGGCCUGCUAACCACGUGCCAGCAGCCGCGGUAAUACGUAGGGUGCAAGCGUUGUCCGGAAUCACUGGGCGUAAAGGGUUCGUAGGCGGCCUAUCAAGUCAGGUGUGAAAGGCAUUGGCUCAACCAAUGUAAGCACUUGAAACUGGUGGGCUUGAGUACUGGAGAGGAGAGUGGAAUUCCUAGUGUAGCGGUGAAAUGCGUAGAUAUUAGGAGGAACACCAGUGGCGAAGGCGACUCUCUGGACAGUUACUGACGCUGAGGAACGAAAGCGUGGGGAGCAAACAGGAUUAGAUACCCUGGUAGUCCACGCCGUAAACGAUGAGUGCUAGGUGUUGGGGGCGACAGUCCUCAGUGCCGCAGCUAACGCAUUAAGCACUCCGCCUGGGGAGUACGGUCGCAAGAGUGAAACUCAAAGGAAUUGACGGG